rnacentral:pre_miRNA from 1 species
CUAAUACUCCCUCCGUCCGGAAUUACUUGUCAUAGAAAUGGAUUUAUCUAGACGUAUUUUAGUUCUAGAUACAUCCAUUUUGGUGACAAGUAAUUCCGGACGGAGGGAGUAGAAA